GCCUAAGACAUGCAAGUCGAACGAGAUGGCCCAGUGAAAGCUGAGUGCUUGCACAAAGCUGGACCUGGAUUCCCAUCUAGUGGCAGACGGGUGAGUAACACGUGGGUGACCUACCUUUCGUUGGGGAUAACAGUUGGAAACGACUGCUAAUACCGAAUAAGAUGUAAGAGUCAAUUUUACAUUGAAAGGAGCCUUUAAAGCUUCGCGAUUAGAUGGGCCUGCGGCGUAUUAACUAGUUGGUGGGGUAACUGCCUACCAAGGUGACGAUGCGUAGCCGAACUGAGAGGUUGAUCGGCCACACUGGGACUGAGACACGGCCCAGACUCCUACGGGAGACAGCAGUUAGGAAUAUUCGUCAAUGGAGGAAACUCUGAACGAGCAAUGCCGCGUGAGUGAUGAAGGUCUUAUAGAUUGUAAAACUCUGUUGUAUGGAAAAAAUGACUAGGUUAGGAAAUGAACUUAGUGUGAUGGUACCAUACCAGAAAGCCCCGGCUAACUACGUG
rnacentral:rRNA from 1 species